rnacentral:rRNA from 1 species
AUGGUUAUAACGCUGUGGUCAUUAUGGUAUGCUAGAAGGAAGGCUAUAUAUGAAUCGAUUUUUCAGAGCCCUCAACAAACGGCGUCCUUUAUCAAUAACUACAUAGAUGAGCUGGGCCAAGUGAACGCUAAGGGAGUGCAGGAAGGUACUCCUAGUGUUGCACCACCACGACCGAAGCAGUGGCUUCGCCCACUGAGUGGUAAUGCGAAGAUUAAUGUUGAUGGGGCUGUGGUGAAAACACGGAGAGGUGGAGCUGUUGCAGCUUUAUGCCGCGACCAAGACGGACAAUACUUGGGGUCAUCGGCGGUGGUUUAUUAUGGGAACACUGAUUCCUUAAUGUUGGAGACUUAUGCAUGCCGCGAGGCCCAAGCUUUGGCGGACGAUCUGGGAGAGCAGAAGGUCUGCGUGGUCUCGGACUGCCAAGAGGCGGUGAAUGACAUAAACAGGGAACAGAAGGCCCCAAUGUUGUGUCGGUACAUGAAAUAA